rnacentral:rRNA from 1 species
GAUCAUGGCCAGGAUGAACGCUAGCGACAGGCCUAACACAUGCAAGUCGAGGGGCAGCGAAGAGGUAGCAAUACCUUUGUCGGCGACCGGCGCACGGGUGAGUAACACGUAUGCAAUCCACCUGUAACAGGGGGAUAACCCGGAGAAAUCCGGACUAAUACCCCAUAGUAUGGGCGCUCCGCAUGGAGAGCCCAUUAAAGAGAGCAAUUUUGGUUACAGACGAGCAUGCGCUCCAUUAG